CCACUUUGAGGGAACUGAGGAGUCAAACUGGUGACACAGGUGUUAAUGAAGGUGUGGUGGUUGGAGCCAUUUUGGUUGUAGUUCUGGCAGCAGGCCUUUUGUAAAAAAAAAAUGUAAAAAGAUGAUGUGUUUUGGACAGAGAGACCAGACACAGAGCAAUGGAACUUUGUCGGGAAAGAUCAACUUGAAGAAAGGUUUGACGAGAGAGGAAGAAGCAAAAGUUUGACUCCAUAAUGAACCCCGAGCAUGGUUCGAAUUACGGGGUUUGACCCCCUCAAAGGGCAAAACAACAAUUCAGGAGGCUCUUUCUUACCUGUCAUUGUAAAUAUUACAAUAGAUUUCACAUACUCUGGCCUUAAAUUCAAGAAUCCUGAAGUAUGAUAUCUGACCUAGAAUUGGACCACACCAUGUCCUAACACGGACGUUAGUUGAACAUUAACUCGCAGCUGCUCCAUGCACAGUGCAUCACACGUUAAUGGAAACGCUGCAGUUUAAUGUCAGUAGUUAGCUAUCUAGCUUGUUUAAUACACUUAACUUCCCGCCUUCAGAGUUUCGUAAUUAGCAUGUAUUUUACUUUAAAUGAGCUAAGUGAUGUUAGCUAGCUGAGAGCCCCCCGAGUCAUUUCAUUACCACUAUAUCCAUAUUUUAUGUAAUUGUUAGCCAACACUGGUGCUCAGGCAUGAGCAGUAAAAUAAAGGAUUAGUUAUCGUAGAUACACAUUUUAAAGCCAAUAUAGUGUUUAUUAUUUUACCUUAAAGUAUUUUGUGAGUCUUUCUACAGUAAAAUGAUAUUUGUUUUCAGUGUAGAAUUCAGGAGUUGUACCUGGCUAGGUAAACGUUAAAAUCCAGUGUUAUUUCUAUAGUGCCAAUUCAGAACAAACGACAUCUUAUUGCACUUUUAUAUUGAGCUAGACAGUAUUCUGUUUAAUAUCAUUUAUUUCCUAAUUCCCCAACAGUGUAUGACGACUACUUUAUUGAACGCAGAUUACAUCUUAUUUGCUAAAACUUGAAAUGAUAAUUAUAAUAAUUUUAUGAUAGUGUCUUUGGUUCUGGUUCAGUAUUGUGUGGGUCUGUUUUGAGCGGUCAUGACGGUCUGCUGUUGUGUCUGACUAUCUGGCAGUUUUGACCUCUGACUACAAAAGUUGUCAUGUGGUAUGGAGCACCAUGAACUGAUGUCAUGAAUUUGAUUUACCAUCAUCUACAGGCUGCAUACAUUAGUUAAAUAAGCGAGGAUACUGUGAGUUUUGUAUUAAAAGCCUGCGCUCUACUGGGUUUUCUUUUUGACCUGAAAAAAAAAAAGGUUGACUCCCCCUCCCGGUUGUCUCUGUAUAAUUCACAGUCUGCCCCUGAGUUACUACAAGAAGCAACAGCUGUUACGUCCUCAUGUGGCUCAGGCCCAGAGGUAAAGAGAGGAGUAACAAAUAUAAAAACCGGGCCACAAGAAACAGGAAACAGAUUAUAUGCAAACAAAUAAGAUAUUUAUUAACAAACAGACCUGAAACAGGAAAAAAAGAGACACAGAAACACAAAGAACUAUUUCACUAAAAGAGAAGAUAAAUGGUUUUAACUAAAAACACUAACACACUUAACAUCCUCGCUCUUCCAUGGGAGUGUACGAGCCCACAGCACCACCAGUCCCAAGCUCACUUUUAUUUUAUUCUGAAAUCAAUCAGCUGUUUAUAACUUUGAGCACUAGACUGCUUGUGAUGAGCUCACCUGCCAAAUACAAUUUCAAUCUGUUGGUGAGGAGUUAGUUUCUGCCUGUUAGUCUGCAGAAGAUGAACCGGACAGGGAUCAGAGUCCCAAAGCUGCACGGGGGACAGAGGGACAGAGGACAGAGGGACGGCGUCCCUUAAUGUGGUGCAGCAACCUUCAUGUUUAAAAUGUUCAGAAACAGUUUGACUUGUAUACAGAAAUUGUACGUUGUUGUUCAUUGUUGCUUUUUAUAGACUGUAUAUUUUUUAACACAUCUAUUUUUUUACCAUUUGUAAACAUAACUGUUCUGUUUAUAUUUGUUUACAAUCUGUUCAGCUGGAGGUCUGUAAAAUGUUCUGUGUGCAACAUCAAGAGCAACUUAAAUUCUUUGUAUUAGUUUGCACAGUUGUACCUAAUAAAGUGGCCACUGAGUGUAGCUGCUGAUUAAUUACUGUAAGUCAAUACAAAUACAGUACAAGGCUGUGUGUUUGUUGAGAUGUUUGAGGAUAAUUAAACGUAAAAUUAUCACCACG